rnacentral:rRNA from 1 species
CAGCAGCCACGGUAAUACGAAGGGGGCUAGCGUUGCUCGGAAUGACUGGGCGUAAAGGGCGCGUAGGCGGCGGCCAAAGUCAGGCGUGAAAUUCCCGGGCUCAACCUGGGGGCUGCGUUUGAUACUUGGUUGCUCGAGUGGGGAAGAGGGUCGUGGAAUUCCCAGUGUAGAGGUGAAAUUCGUAGAUAUUGGGAAGAACACCGGUGGCGAAGGCGGCGACCUGUCCUUUACUGACGCUGAGGCGCGAAAGCGUGGGGAGCAAACAGGAUUAGAUACCCCCGUAGUCCCUGUCUCUUAUACA